AUGUUCUCUGUAGCUCUGAUACUGCUGCUGGCUGCUGGAUCCUGUGUGAAGUGUGAACAGUUGACCCAGCCAGCCUCUGUGACUGUGCAGCCAGGUCAACGUCUGACCAUCACCUGUCAGGUCUCUUAUUCUCUUAGUGACUACUACACAGCUUGGAUCAGACAGCCUGCAGGGAAAGGACUGGAGUGGAUUGGAAUGAAAUAUACUGGAGCUUCAUACUACAAAGAUUCACUGAAGAACAAGUUCAGUAUCGACUUAGAGACUUCCAGCAAGACAGUGACUCUAAAUGGAAUCAAUGUGCAGCCUGAAGACACUGCUGUGUAUUACUGUGCCAGAGAGCCACAGUAACACAAACCAUCAGUAGACCUGAACAAAAACCCCUCAGAGCCUGAACACUUGUAACAUGAAGCCACCAGAGGAGGAGCCCUCAGACCACUAAUGGUUUCAACACCAGCUCACUGUUACAGUAAAGAGAGA